rnacentral:misc_RNA from 1 species
AUUAUGCAGACGGCGUCACACAGAGACGCUCAGCGCGCGCGUUCUGGUCAUUCUGCUUGGUUACUAGUCUCUUUUGCUAGGAGAUUUUUCUCUCGUUAAUGUGGAAAUUAAUCGAUCGCUGUGGCUAAGUUACAGAAAGAUAGAUCAGUUCGACUGCGGGUAAAUCCCGAACAGUCUAACGAUUAUAGAGUGGUUGUGUUUGGAGCGGGUGGUGUUGGUACGUACAUCAAAAUAAGAAAUUAAUGAGCAGACACUCUGGCCUUAAUCGAACAAAGCGUUUUAACAGAUAAUCAAUAGUUCUUUUAAUUUAACUUUAUAGUAAAAAACAUUGCUUUUUUUAAAAAUCUUUUCAAAUUUGAAUACAAAUCAUUUUUAUAGAUCUGUUCCAUAAAUUCUGUCUUUCUUUAAGAUAGAUAUUUUUGUCAAAAAUAUUACUAUUUGAAUAAUGAGAGGUCCGGCUGUUCAUUUUUUUUAUACAAAAAAGAUAAUUAUAUCAAACUAAUACAUUACUAUUUUAGGAAAGUCAUCACUAGUUUUAAGAUUUGUCAGAGGAACUUUCCAAGAGUCUUAUGUUCCUACAAUUGAAGAUACAUAUAGACAAGUAAUAUCGUGCAAUAAGCAAGUAUGCACACUUCAAAUAACAGACACGACUGGUUCACAUCAGUUUCCCGCAAUGCAAAGAUUAAGUAUUUCGAAAGGACAUGCUUUCAUUUUGGUCUUCUCUGUUACCUCAAGACAAUCCUUAGAAGAAUUAAAGCCAAUUUAUAAUGAAAUUAGGGGAUUAAAAGAAGAUGUAGAGUGUAUUCCAAUAAUGUUAGUUGGUAAUAAAAUUGACGAUACUGCCAGUAGACAAGUUACAGAAAAAGUGGCAUCUCAACUAGCUAAAAGUUGGACGUGCUCAUACAUUGAGACAUCAGCAAAAAUGAAUACAAAUGUAAAAGAGCUAUUCCAGGAGCUACUUCAACAAGAAAAAAGACGAAACGUGAGUUUAAAUGUGGAUGGAAAAAAGUCAAGGGCUCGAAAAUCAAGAGAAAAGCUUAAAGGAAAAUGUGAAAUCAUGUGACUGUAAUUAAAAUUUUGUUUGGUAGAAAUACACUAAUUCUGUUGAUAAUAUAUGCAACUUUUAACUUGAUAAAUUAAAAGCCUGAUGUAUAUAUGUAAAUAUACAGAACUUUUUCAGAAUUGUGAUUUUUGUAGACA